UAUUCUCUAAGGCCAAGCACUAACCAGCGAAGGAAUAACAAAAAUUCAUCAUGUAUUUGAAGUUGAACCAAUUCUAAUUCCAAUUCCAAUUCCAAUUCCAAUGUGGUGUCAUAUACAGCUGAAAGAUUCUUCACCUACAUUUAUACCAAGAAACCAUUAUUAAGGGAGCCAAAGUUGUAUUUAUGACUACGUUUGGAGGACAUUGGGUUAUCGAGAUAAUGGUAUUAUGAGAUAUGUUGGUGAGGACGAAAAAAUAAUAAUGGUUGACACAAGACCUAUUUUCAAAAGGAUUGAUUGAGAAAAUAUGUUAUCGUCUAAGAAUCAACCGAAGGCAAUCAAUGUUUGUAUAUAUACGAACAAUAAUUUGGUGGUGCUUGGAAACCUGUAUGAGCUCCAAGAUGGUGAGGAUGUUGAAUUUCUAAUGAUGGCAGUUGGAAAAAAAUUCAACCUGUCUUUAUGUCAUAGAGAGUCAAAUUGAAGAAAGAUCGAUAAAGAGCAAGUUGAGGAAGAACAGUUGCAAGAUGAUUCAAUAUAUGAUUAGACACAACUACAAAGUAUCCCAGAGGAUGAAGAAUUAAGUAAUUGCAAUGAUAAUGAUGAUGAAGAGAAUGAAGAUCUUGGGGAAGAAUUUGAUAGGUUUAUGGAUGUUAAUGAGAUAUAUGAUGUACCAAUUGAGGAGCUUGAGUUGCAUGGCAAAGAAGACAUUAAGAGAAGUCUAAGUAAUUUUCAUAGUGUCAAGGGUGAGUCUAGUGCGACACGUCAUAGUUAGGUUGAUCAUAAAGUAUCCCCAGUAAAUAUAAAUGUCCCUAAUCUAUUUUAAUGGGUCCCAUCAACAGCUGUAGAUGUUGAAAACGAGAUAAUUUGUAAUGUUGAAAAAUAACCCGAUGUGAGGAUCAAAUUGAUGGGUUAUUAUAAUGGUAAGAAAGAAUUGCAAAAUCUAUUUGCAAGACUUGCUUUAGAACAAAGUUUUCAAUACAAAGUUUAUUGGUCAAUAAUGAAACAG